rnacentral:rRNA from 1 species
UACAGAGGUCUCAAGCGUUGUUCGGAUUCAUUGGGCGUAAAGGGUGCGCAGGCGGCGCGGUAAGUCGGGUGUGAAAUCUUGGAGCUUAACUCCGAAACUGCAUUCGAUACUGCCGUGCUUGAGGACUGGAGAGGAGACUGGAAUUUACGGUGUAGCGGUGAAAUGCGUAGAUAUCGUAAGGAGGACCAGUGGCGAAGGCGGGUCUCUGGACAGUUCCUGACGCUGAGGCACGAAGGCCAGGGGAGCAAACGGG